rnacentral:rRNA from 2 species
UUGACCUCGGAUCAGGUAGGAAUACCCGCUGAACUUAAGCAUAUCAAUAAGCGGAA